rnacentral:rRNA from 1 species
CACGUAGGGGCCAAGCGUUGUCCGGAUUUAUUGGGCGUAAAGAGCUCGUAGGCGGUUCAGUCAGUUGGGUGUGAAAACUCCGGGCUUAACUCGGAGAGGCCACCCAAUACUGCUGUGACUUGAGUCCGGUAGGGGAGUGGGGAAUUCCUGGUGUAGCGGUGAAAUGCGCAGAUAUCAGGAGGAACACCGGUGGCGAAGGCGCCACUCUGGGCCGGUAUUGACGCUGAGGCGCGAAAGCUAGGGGAGCAAACGGG